rnacentral:lncRNA from 1 species
ACUGGGACGAUUCCGCGGAGCCGGGCAGAGGUUUUAGGGGUGCGCAGGAGUCAAGUGGUGGUUCAGUGGGGACGGUGAGGUGGAGGACGAUCUGGUCGGAUAGCCGCGGGCACGAACCUGGGAACCAGAGGGUGGAGGCCAUGCUGGGGACUGAUGUAGGGCGGGACCGACUGGAAGCGGCAUCCAGAGGCCCAGUGAGCCUCGGUCUCAGCUCCUGAAGGGGUUGCAUGGGGCCCUACGCUUCCUUCUCCAUUUUUUAGCUAAGAGAUUGAGAGAGUCGGUUUACUUUUGGGCUUGGAGUAUCAUUUAGAUCUGUUAACAGUACAGUUGAGAGAGUUGGUGUCUUUUGUUGAGGUGCGAGGACCCGAGGCGGCGACCCUCGCCUUUAUUCGGAGAAGCCCACUUCCACCCACAGAGUUGGGGUAGUCCUCCGAAAUGCAUUUUUGUUUUGCCGUUUGUUUUCCAACCCCCUUUCACUCUCCCCAAAGCUUCAGAUUCACUGAUUUUUCAUACAGGAAUGAUUAACAAAGGCGUCCGAAGAAAUCGUUGUUGGAAGGUGACCAAGGUGGAAAGAGACGUUGCUUUGGCCCUGCAAGUAAGAAGAGAGAGGGAAUAGCCUGAAGGAGUAACACUAAAUUUAAAAUGACACUUUUUUACCAACCAGCGAAAGCAGAUGUUCAAAGGGGAUAUUGGCCAGAGUCUGUCACACUAAGAUGAGAAAUGUCCUUUCUUCCUGAAGGUGUCUGAUGUGUAAAAAUAUGAUAUACUUUGUGCUGUUUCCUCCCUUCCCUUUUGCAUAUUAUUCUGAAACAACAUUAACUAGUUACUUUGCGUCAUUGAAGGUAUGCACUUCCCCUCUAUGUUAGGAGUGAAUAAAAUUAAAAAUAGAUCCUUAUAACAAAGAAAGGCAGAUAGAAUGAUUAAAAAUGACCAAAACAUGUUAGAAACAGUCUCUCAGGUGUAUGCAGAUGGUAAUUACAAAAAUACUUUUUCAAAAAA